rnacentral:rRNA from 1 species
GAUGAACGCUGGCGGCGUGCCUAAUACAUGCAAGUCGAACGAGGUGCUUUUUUGUAGCAAUACGAGAAGUAUCCUAGUGGCGAACGGGUGAGUAACGCGUGGGUGACCUGCCCCAAAGUGUGGGAUAACAGAUCGAAAGAUUUGCUAAUACCGCAUGUGGUCUUCAAGUUUGGAAGUUGAUGACUAAAGCAGCAAUGCGCUUUGGGAGGGACCUGCGUCCCAUCAGCUAGUUGGUGAGGUAAUGGCUCACCAAGGCGACGACGGGUAGGGGACCUGAGAGGGUGGCCCCCCACAAUGGAACUGAAACACGGUCCAUACACCUACGGGUGGCAGCAGUAGGGAAUAUUGCACAAUGGGCGAAAGCCUGAUGCAGCAACGCCGCGUGAGCGAUGAAGGCCU